rnacentral:rRNA from 1 species
AGAGUUUGAUCAUGGCUCAGGAUGAACGCUAGCUGGAGGCUUAAUACAUGCAAGUCGAGCGGGAUUGGUAGCAAUACCAUGAGAGCGGCGGACGGGUGAGUAACGCGUACACGACCUACCUUUGACUGGGGGAUAGCCCUGGGAAACUGGGAUUAAUACCGCAUAUAAUUCUGAAUAAUAAAGGUUUGGAAUGAAAGUUCAGGCGGUCAGAGAUGGGUGUGCGUCUGAUUAGCUAGUUGGUAAGGUAACGGCUUACCAAGGCGAUGAUCAGUAGGGGGCGUGAGAGCGUGAUCCCCCACACGGGUACUGAGACACGGACCCGACUCCUACGGGAGGCAGCAGUAAGGAAUAUUGGACAAUGGCCGCAAGGCUGAUCCAGCCAUCCAGCGUGCAGGAAGAAGGCCCUACGGGUUGUAAACUGCUUUUGUCAGGGAAUAAACCUGUGGAUUUACUCCGCAGCUGAAGGUACCUGAAGAAUAAGCACCGGCUAACUCCGUGCCAGCAGCCGCGGUAAUACGGAGGGUGCGAGCGUUAUCCGGAAUUACUGGGUUUAAAGGGUGCGUAGGCGGCCAUGUAAGUCAGGAGUGAAAGUUUGCGGCUCAACCGUAAAAUUGCUUUUGAUACUGCAUGGCUGGAAUCAGGAUGAGGUCAGCGGAAUGUGGCAUGUAGCGGUGAGAUGCAUAGAUAUGCCAUAGAACACCAAUUGCGAAGGCAGCUGGCUAGACCUGUAUUGACGCUGAGGCACGAAAGCGUGGGGAGCGAACAGGAUUAGAUACCCUAGUAGUCC